UGAAUUUCGGGAUUAGCAGGCUGGUCGUGCCUUCGGUACGUACUAAGCUCCACGCUACAACCCUUCUGAAGAACCGUGAUGUCAUUAAUUUGGUGUUACGGGGAAUCAGGACUGUUACCUUGAAAAAAUUAGAGUGUUUAAAGCAGGCUAACGCUUGAAUACAUUAGCAUGGAAUAAUGAAAUAGGACGUUCGAACCUAUUUUGUUGGUUUCUAGGAUCGACGUAAUGAUUAAUAGGGAUAGUUGGGGGCAUUAGUAUUCAAUUGUCAGAGGUGAAAUUCUUGGAUUUAUUGAAGACUAACUACUGCGAAAGCAUUUGCCAAGGACGUUUUCAUUAAUCAAGAACGAAAGUUAGGGGAUCGAAGACGAUCAGAUACC
rnacentral:rRNA from 1 species